UACGUAGGGUGCGAGCGUUGUCCGGAAUCACUGGGCGUAAAGGGCGCGUAGGCUGCGCGGUAAGCGUGCGGUGAAAGUCCGGGGCUCAACCCCGGAUCGGCCGUGCGGACUGCCGGGCUCGAGCACUGUAGGGGCGGGUGGAACUCCGGGUGUAGCGGUGGAAUGCGUAGAGAUCCGGAAGAACACCGGUGGCGAAGGCGGCCCGCUGGGCAGUGGCUGACGCUGAGGCGCGACAGCGUGGGGAGCAAACAGG
rnacentral:rRNA from 1 species